rnacentral:rRNA from 1 species
CAGUCGCCGCGGGAAUACGUAGGGUGCAAGCGUUAUCCGGAAUUAUUGGGCGUAAAGAGCUCGUAGGCGGUUUGUCGCGUCUGCUGUGAAAACUGGAGGCUCAACCUCCAGCCUGCAGUGGGUACGGGCAGACUAGAGUGCGGUAGGGGAGAUUGGAAUUCCUGGUGUAGCGGUGGAAUGCGCAGAUAUCAGGAGGAACACCGAUGGCGAAGGCAGAUCUCUGGGCCGUAACUGACGCUGAGGAGCGAAAGCAUGGGGAGCGAACAGGAUUAGAUACCCCAGUAGUCCCUGUCUCUUAUAC